GAGACUUGGGCCUUGAUCCUGCCAUGAUCUCUGCAGAAACAAACCCUUGUGGAGCUCAUUGCAGGACUGGGACCUUAGUUUU
ensembl:miRNA